rnacentral:tRNA from 1 species
GGCGCUUUGGCGGAGUGGUUAUCGCGUGGCACUAGAAUCGCUUAGCAUUCUAAAGCAAGUCCUGCUCAACAAAAUAUGCCAUUCCCUCUGGGAGCAUAGGUUCAAAUCCUGUAGGCGUCG